UCUCCUCUCCUAUGUCUUAUUUACUGUUAUAUCAAAUGUGAAUCUAUAUUUCUUGCACCUAUUAGUUAGUUACAAACAUACUACAUGUAUGUACAUAUAUAUUAAGCAUAACAUAUGAAGAGGACAUAAUUAUUUUUUCUAAUGUAUAUAUAUUAUUACAUUUUUCCUCUUAUUCUCAUAUGUUUUCCUUGCUGUUAUAUAAAAUGGAAAGCUGUGUUUAUCACAUGUAUUAGUUGCAAAAUGUCAUAUGUUGGUGAACCUCGAAGACAACGAAAUCGACAGAAACGUUCUUUAUCAUUAAAUUCAGACAUACCAUUUAUUUAUUCUUUAGGUAUGCCAAUAACACUUCAUCUUCUCUCACAUAUUUCCUAUUCCGGGGGAAGGGCGAAGUAGAAACCAUCUUAACUUCUUUUAAUAUUGUUCACAUAUUCUAUUAAUUAACAACCAAAUUAACAUUACUACGACAGAUACAGAGCCACCUACUCCGGGACAAGGUACAGCUUUUUCCCUUCCUUUUUUCCCCUCCCCUUCAUCCUACACACAACCUUCACUAAUAAUAAUUGAUAUAUGCUACCAUUUAUUUCUACCGUACGUGUACAGGUUCAACCAACAACCAAACUAAUAUUGUUACAAGAAAUACAGCGACGUGUAUACCAAAACAAGGAGACACAACAUGGACGUAUAUACAACAUCAAAAGAGACAUCAAGAUGCAGAAACUUUAAGAAUGGGUGAUUCAUCAAUGUUAUCAUUAGAAUCAAGCUUUGCGACACGCAAAGAAUAUAUAUCUUUCUUGAAAG